rnacentral:snRNA from 1 species
CUCUAAUCUCUGAUCUUUGUCUAAGGUCAUGUUUAACAUCUGUUCUUAUCAGUUAAAUAUCUGUCACAUCCUUGACUUGAAGGUGUCAUAUUAAACAAAUUUUUUGGGACCAAAAGAUGGAUUAGAACUUUUUCUGUCUAUCCUGUGCAUCUGCCUGUUAUUGCAGUGUCUCCAGAAGCCGCACACUAA